GUAGGGAUGGAAGCCGGCUGAAUCACAAUCCCUGCUCUAGACCUCAUUAGCCCCUACAUUUCCCACCCAGGCUAAUCUGGGAAGUUCCUCCAAGCAGGGCAGAAGGCUUCUACUACAACCUGCAGAGGUCAACGUUAUGGACAGUCUCUCUUUAACAUUGUCUCUCUGUUGCCAACAGCCUGAAGACAAAGAUGAGGCCUGAAGCAGGAGUCCAGUGCAGUUAUUUGUAAACAUGGGGCCAGGGAUAUGAGAGAGCAUCCUCCCAGGAAGGCUAAAGGCCCUUCUUAAUAGGCCCACCCUUAUUCCUACAAAUACUCUAGUUAACAGGAAUCUAAAAGAAAGCACAAAGCAGAAGGUGUCUCCACUCCAACCUGACAUCUUCCAACCUGCUACCAUGGAUCCAACAAAUGUUGCAGUGCAGCAUGGGAUACUCCCACAUAAACCCCACCCAGCCCCCACCCAGCCACACACCCAGAGAAGACACUGCCAUGCUCACAUGCAAAUUCUUGUUCCCCCAAAUCACUUCAUAAAAUGUUGUCAUCCCCAUCCAUUGGCAGUUACGGUGGCAGAAGCCCAAAGGCGGCCCACAGAGGCACUUUCAGAUACACAUGCCUGACUGAGGCAGAAGAGUCAUGGCAACCCAAGGCAACACAGGCUGGCAAUAUUCAUUCCUAUGGAAUGCGAUGGUGGAAGAGUCAGACAUCUCUCCUCCUCGACUAGUCUGUGAUGUUCUACCAACCAGAGGGAGAGCCCUUCUCCCCCAACAUGCAAAGAUCAUGGAUAUCUCUCACUGACCUUGUCUCUCUCUGCUUCCACAAAGACUGAAGAAGAGCAAGAAUUAAGAAGCAGGAGCCCAAUUCAAUGUAGCAUCGGGACUCAGAGUAUAGGGAACAGCUUUCUCCGAAGGAGAAUAAAUACUUCAUCACCACCCAAA